AUUGAACGCUGGCGGCAUGCUUUACACAUGCAAGUCGAACGGCAGCGCGGGCUUCGGCCUGGCGGCGAGUGGCGAACGGGUGAGUAAUACAUCGGAACGUGCCCAGUAGUGGGGGAUAGCUCGGCGAAAGCCGGAUUAAUACCGCAUACGACCUGAGGGUGAAAGCGGGGGAUCUUCGGACCUCGCGCUAUUGGAGCGGCCGAUGGCAGAUUAGCUAGUUGGUGGGGUAAAGGCCUACCAAGGCGACGAUCUGUAGCUGGUCUGAGAGGACGACCAGCCACACUGGAACUGAGACACGGCCCAGACUCCUACGGGAGGCAGCAGUGGGGAAUUUUGGACAAUGGGCGAAAGCCUGAUCCAGCAAUGCCGCGUGUGUGAAGAAGGCCUUCGGGUUGUAAAGCACUUUUGGCGGGAAGGAAAAGAACUGUGCCAAUACCACGGUUCGAUGACGGUACCCGCAGAAUAAGCACCGGCUAACUACGUG
rnacentral:rRNA from 1 species